AUUGAACGCUGGCGGCAGGCCUAACACAUGCAAGUCGAACGAGCGGCGGACGGGGGAGUAAUAUGUGGGAGACUGCCUGCGGGAGGGGGAUAUCUACUGGAGACGGUGGCGAAUACACCAUAACAUCUGAGGUCCGCAGGUGGGAUUAGCUAGUAGGGGGGGUAGCGGCUCACCUAGGCGACGAUCCCUAGCUGGUCUGAGAGGACGACCAGCCACACUGGAACUGAGACACGGUCCAGACUCCUACGGGAGGCAGCAGUGGGGAAUAUUGCACAAUGGGCGCAAGCCUGAUGCAGCCAUGCCGCGUGUGUGAAGAAGGCCUUCGGGUUGUAAAGUACUUUCAGCGGGGAGGCGUUACCCGCAGAAGAAGCACCGGCUAACUCCGUGCCAGCAGCCGCGGUAAUUC
rnacentral:rRNA from 1 species